AUUGAACGCUGGCGGCAGGCCUAACACAUGCAAGUCGAACGAGUGGCGGACGGGUGAGUAAUGCCUGGGAAACUGCCCGAUGGAGGGGGAUAACUACUGGAAACGGUAGCUAAUACCGCAUACCAUCGGAUGUGCCCAGAUGGGAUUAGCUAGUAGGUGGGGUAACGGCUCACCUAGUCGACGAUCCCUAGCUGGUCUGAGAGGAUGACCGGCCACACUGGAACUGAGACACGGUCCAGGAGCCUAAGGGAGGCAGCAGUGGGGAAUAUUGCGCAAUGGGGGCAACCCUGAUGCAGCAAUGCCGCGUGAAUGAAGAAGGCCUUGGGGUUGUAAAGUUCUUUCGGUAGCGAGGCGUUAACUACAGAAGAAGCACCGGCUAACUCCGUGCCAGCAGCCGCGGUAAUAC
rnacentral:rRNA from 1 species